UGUAACUGGUGAUCUGACAGAUGGAAUGAGAGCGUAACGUCUCGAAACGUCUGCCCUUGAUGAACGUGCAUCAGGCCGAAAGACCUCUUGUGCGAAGCUUCAUGACAAAGGCUGAGAGUAACCGUAAUCACGGACAGUGAUCGAAACCGGUCUGGAGGCAGACCGUGUUACCUAUAAGCCGAGGGUCUAUAAA
rfam:Coprococcus catus GD/7 draft genome.